rnacentral:rRNA from 1 species
CAUGCAAGUCGAACGGUGAAGCCAAGCUUGCUUGGUGGAUCAGUGGCGAACGGGUGAGUAACACGUGAGCAAUCUGCCCUUGACUCUGGGAUAAGCGCUGGAAACGGCGUCUAAUACUGGAUAUGAGCUGUGGCCGCAUGGUCGGCAGUUGGAAAGAAUUUCGGUCAAGGAUGAGCUCGCGGCCUAUCAGCUUGUUGGUGAGGUAAUGGCUCACCAAGGCGUCGACGGGUAGCCGGCCUGAGAGGGUGACCGGCCACACUGGGACUGAGACACGGCCCAGACUCCUACGGGAGGCAGCAGUGGGGAAUAUUGCACAAUGGGCGCAAGCCUGAUGCAGCAACGCCGCGUGAGGGACGACGGCCUUCGGGUUGUAAACCUCUUUUAGCAGGGAAGAAGCGAAAGUGACGGUACCUGCAGAAAAAGCACCGGCUAACCACGUGCCAGCAGCCGCGGUAAUACGUAGGGUGCAAGCGUUAUCCGGAAUUAUUGGGCGUAAAGAGCUCGUAGGCGGUUUGUCACGUCUGCUGUGAAAACUGGAGGCUCAACCUCCAGCCUGCAGUGGGUACGGGCAGACUAGAGUGCGGUAGGGGAGAUUGGAAUUCCUGGUGUAGCGGUGGAAUGCGCAGAUAUCAGGAGGAACACCGAUGGCGAAGGCAGAUCUCUGGGCCGUAACUGACGCUGAGGAGCGAAAGGGUGGGGAGCAAACAGGCUUAGAUACCCUGGUAGUCCACCCCGUAAACGUUGGGAACUAGUUGUGGGGUCCAUUCCACGGAUUCCGUGACGCAGCUAACGCAUUAAGUUCCCCGCCUGGGGAGUACGGCCGCAAGGCUAAAACUCAAAGGAAUUGACGGGGACCCGCACAAGCGGCGGAGCAUGCGGAUUAAUUCGAUGCAACGCGAAGAACCUUACCAAGGCUUGACAUAUAUGAGAACGGGCUAGAAAUAGUCAACUCUUUGGACACUCGUAAACAGGUGGUGCAUGGUUGUCGUCAGCUCGU